rnacentral:tRNA from 1 species
GCUAUAUGGCUCAGUUGGUAGAGCGCACCCUUGGUAAGGGUGAGGUCCCCAGUUCGACUCUGGGUAUCAGCACCA